GCUUCGUGGUGUAGAGGUAAGCACGCUGGGCGCGUAUUCCAGAGGUCCGUGGUUCGAGUCCCGGCGAAGGCG
rnacentral:tRNA from 1 species